GACGAACGCUGGCGGCGUGCUUAACACAUGCAAGUCGAACGGAAAGGCCCUGCUUUUGUGGGGUGCUCGAGUGGCGAACGGGUGAGUAACACGUGAGUAACCUGCCCUUGACUUUGGGAUAACUUCAGGAAACUGGGGCUAAUACCGGAUAGGAGCUCCUGCUGCAUGGUGGGGGUUGGAAAGUUUCGGCGGUUGGGGAUGGACUCGCGGCUUAUCAGCUUGUUGGUGGGGUAGUGGCUUACCAAGGCUUUGACGGGUAGCCGGCCUGAGAGGGUGACCGGCCACAUUGGGACUGAGAGACGGCCCAGACUCCUACGGGAGGCAGCAGUGGGGAAUAUUGCACAAUGGGCGGAAGCCUGAUGCAGCAACGCCGCGUGCGGGAUGACGGCCUUCGGGUUGUAAACCGCUUUCGCCUGUGACGAAGCGUGAGUGACGGUAAUGGGUAAGAAGCACCGGCUAACUACGU
rnacentral:rRNA from 1 species